CAACAAAAAACAUAACCCUAAAGGAAAAAGAAGGAUAAAGAAAUGAAAGGGACCUGAGGACAGACCAUGCCCUUGACUGCCUGACCAGCCUGAGUAGAGAGCAUACCUGAGCUCUAAAUGACAUUGGUGGGCCUCCUCGUCCUUGGGUUCCCAGCAGAAAUUUGGAGAUAGAGGGGAGAGUGAAGUAGGGGAUAUCUAUGACCCUAGUUCUCUUCCUGUGGAGUCAGCGUGAGUUGGCAUGUCCUUCAAUCAAAGUGGAAUUCUGCUCAGGAGGUUCCCGUGCACAUGAUUCUUUCCUCCAGCUUCAGUGACUGCUCCCUUCUCUGAAGGGGUGAGAGAAGGGAACCCCAAGUUCUAAUGUAUAAAUAAGGACAUUUCUAGUGACAUUUCCUGAAGAUGUCACUGUGUGUUGUGCAUCUAAUUCCCAAAUGUAUUUCAUCACAGAAUCCUCUUUCACUGAAACAUCUCUUAAGUCGAGCUUUUCAUGGAAAAGUCUUCAGAAAACACUGCCUCACAGCCUGUCAAAGAAGGCAUCACCAGAGAAAAAGGAGGCCCUUCUGGAGGAUCCAAAGUCCACACAUGGAAGAACAGACUUCACUGAACUAAUACAAUUUUCAGGAAAGUGGCCAGAGCAGGCUGCCCUACAAGUCCCAAGUUUGCCAUGUUCACCUGAAUUUCAUGAGAAGGAAAUAAAUAGAACACACUUAUGAGCUGCCAUUGGUCCUAUCUUACACAUAAAGAAUCUGUAGCUCAGGAACCUAUAGAAUUUCAUCUCCCCUCACCACCAGGUGACAUAGAAGUGAGAAGAUACUGCAUCAGAGGUUUCAUGGAGAAGGUCUACAGCUUUUGAAAUAUUCUCUAAGGAGUCCAUAACCACCAAGGGCAAGAAGCAUUACUUUUCCCACAUCAGCUCCCCCAUCGUCACAUUCUGAUCCCUGAGGAAUAUCCUAUUCUCUUGCUAAACUACUGCAGUUUAACUGAGACCCAAGAAUGAGCCUUCUUUUUAUCAGAUGAAAAUACAUGGCCACAAACAUUAUGCAGUCAGAAGCAACCUAAAAUAGCCACUGUAUAAUUAACUCAGUCUUCAGAAGAGAAAACAAUUAUGGGACGAGAGAAGGAAAAACACAGACAAUUUUCCAUCCCUUCCCAGUUGCAGCAGCUGAAGGAAGACCCUCAAACUCACUUAGACACCCAGCUGUGUUAGUGAAUCUUUACGGCCCUCAAUAUUCCAGAUGUGUACUGCUCACCCGCGGCUGGUAAGCCACUAAACAAGCAAACUGAUGAUUUUCCAUAAAAGCAGUGGACUAAAUCAUCAGAAGAAGGCUACCUGGACAUGUUUUAUCUUAAAGUGAUAGCAAGAAGGGAUGGGGAAAAAUUAGUUUUGUAAAUCCAA